ensembl:lncRNA
AAAAAAAUACUUGAACAAGGAAAUGUAACAUUCAACAUCAAUUCAACCUCCAGCUUUCCUCGUGAGUGCCUGGUUUGUUUAACCGAAUCAAUCCGCAGGCCUUUGCCUUCUCUCGUCUCGAGCUACUCGCUCACAACCAAUCACGUUAUUCUGGUCAGUUCUUAAUUGAUUUCAGCUGCGUCUCCCCCGCCUCUCCUUAUAAAGCGCCCCCACCGUGACGGUUGUUAAUCGUUUUUUUUGCGUUGGGUUGCGUGGGUUGAACAAUCCGGACAUCGUGGCCACCGACGUGGACCCCCCGCCACCGGGACCCACGCACACCGACCACCACACUGGGAAGUGUCCUCUGCUCACUGUGGAAGCAGCAUGGAAGAACUGCAGCAACUCUGAUGGAAACUACAGGACAUCCACGCUGUUGAACACGAACUAUUUCAGGCCUACUACAAACAGAGGCGGUCCCACUCGGUUAAAGAUCUCGUGGUCAAUGCGGCCGACCGCUGGACCUGGACGUCACCUUCUGCAGAUACUUCACUGCCCUCAAGAAUCCACGGAUAACUUGAAACAUGUCCGACUCCACAUGUCCGAAAAAUCCAGGAUGGAAACUUGUGGAAGGAAGAAAGGGUUCUGUUUUUGCUAAACCCAUAACCCCACUGAGCCCUUCUGUGGAAACCUGUCUGACUGACCCUACUGACUGGGGGCCUGUUGAUGAGUGUUUGGUUGGUCUGGUAGAAGGUUUGCUGCUUGUGAUCUGCAAGGUGGUCCUGGGUUAGAUGCGGUGUCUGACUUGCACACCACUCUCCCAAUUCUAUUCUUCUCUUUACUACUUUUCUACUUUCAAUACACGUGCUGCUGCUGCUGUUGACCGCUGGUGGUGCAAUGUGGUUUUUAUUCGCGUAUGUUCUGUGGACUUUGCAUUUGUAUUUUAAUGAACAUGUUUACUGCCUGUUAGACCUCGGAUUGGCAAACCUAAACUCCUUCACUGGCAAAAUGUAGAUGCAUAUUAAAUGCCAAAAUUAACAUUUCAAUAUUCGUUUUGCGUAUUUUACCAAUAGCUUCGGAACUAGACGAACCUCAUAUAUAAAUUGCUCUUCAAAGAUGCGGUCAGGCGCCCCUCCUUUAUAUAACGUUCUCUGCCCGGUACGAAAUAGACCGACCAAUAACAACCCUUUAGGCUAUCUAAUGUGAGGUUGGAUAUACGCAACAUGUAGAGGUGUUUCAACAACAAAGAUGGAAGUUAGUGAACUAAAGACUGUAUAUGCUCACUAAAAGAACGAACGACUACUACUCUUAAAGAUUUUGAGGAAUAUGUAUUUCUGCAUCACCCGUUCCAAUGCUAUGAUUAGUCGAGGCCUAUCCAAUAGCAUAGGAUCGACCCAUUUUAGAUCGCGCCCUUUAGACACGCCUUGGAAAUUGAACAACGCACUUCAACGCAGAGGAUCCAGAAGGAUUUCACAACGAGUCCAUUGGAAGAUAUCGAGGAACAUGAACAUCACCAAUGAAGGAGAGUAACGUUUCCACUUGCUAUAGGAAUUGAAGCACUAAAUAGUUAAUAAUAAUAAUAAUAAUAUAAAAUGUGGUCACCAUUUAUUGACUUUUUGGGUAAGACUUGCUUUACUAAUAUAACCACGUUAAAACCGCAUUCAUUUACUUUUCUUGUGUAGUUUCACACUAUUCAUUAAAUGUGUUGUAGAAGUAAAAAAGUAAUCAAUAGAACUAUGCACAUUUGUACAACUAAUCAUUACACAGGAUUUGAACAUUUUCUAUAUUCGAGCUCAUGCUUCAUAAUAUUUCCAAGGAUUGCAGAGUACCAAAUUAUUUAUGAACAGUGGUUUGUUUUUGUUCAGGAGCGGAUUGUACUCCCAGAGGCUUCAACAGAGCGGGUCUGGAGCUGGGAGCUGCAGGUGGAUGGUGGCCAGGAGCCGUUCAGUCCUACAGGAACAGACGGUAGAGGUGAUGGAGGUGCUCGCCGUGAGGUCCGUGGCGGUCGUCUGGAGGUGCUCGCCGUGAGGUCCGUGGCGGUCGUCUGGAGGUGCUCGCCGUGAGGGCCGUGGCGGUCGUCUGGAGGCGCCUGCUGCAGCUGGAGGGAAGGCCGGGAGCCGUACAGCCCAAGGGAUGCAGAACGGACUGAGGCGGAGGUCCUGGAGGCGGAGGUCCUGGAGGCGGAGGUCCUGGAGGCGUCCAACCUGGAAGGGGCGGCAUGGAGGGCCAGAAGGGCCUGGAGGCGGCCAACCUGGAAGGCCUGGAGACGGCGGAGGUCCUGGAGGCAACGGCGGGCCUGGAGGCGGAGGCCAACCUGGAGGCGGAGGCCAACCUGGAGGUCCUGGAGUCGGUGGGCCUGGAGGCGAUGGCAGCCAUCACUGGAGUUUAUAGGAAAUGAUACUUCUCAAGAACUCCCAGUAUGGGAGAAGAUAAGCUACUGACAUCUGAGUGAGCGAGGAGAAAAAAUCUCCAGUGUUGAAAUGGAUUGUAUCUUGUUUCAGUAGAGGUGAUGGAGGUGCUCGCCGUGAGGUCCGUGGCGGUCGUCUGGAGGUGCUCGCCGUGAGGUCCGUGGCGGUCGUCUGGAGGUGCUCGCCGUGAGGUCCGUGGCGGUCGUCUGGAGGCGCUCGCUGCAGCUGGAGGGAAGGCCGGGAGCCGUACAGCCCAAGGGAUGCAGAACGAAGGACUGAGGUGGAGGCCAGCCUGGAGGUGGAGGCCAGCCUGGAGGUGGAGGCCAGCCUGGAGGUGGAGGCCAGCCUGGAGGUGGAGGCCAGCCUGGAGGUGGAGGCCAGCCUGGAGGUGGAGGCCAGCCUGGAGGUGGAGGCCAGCCUGGAGGUCCUGGAGGCGUCCAACCUGGAAGGGGCAGCAUGGAGGGCCAGAAGGGCCUGGAGGCGGCCAACCUGGAGGUCCUGGAGUCGGUGGGCCUGGAGGCGAUGGCAGCGGCCAUCCUGGAGGCGGACUACCUGGUGGUCCUGGAGGCGGAUUGUGGAGACCAUCCUGGAGGGCCUGGAGGUGGCGCCGGCCUGGAGGACCUGGAGGGGGCGAAGGGCCUGGAGGAGGUGGCCAACCUGGAGGCAACGGCGGGCCUGGAGGCGGCCAACCUGGAGGAUUGAAGGAGUCACUGGGAUGAAGAUCCCUGCUGAGGGGCUGACGACCCCCACACCCACUCAUCUUUCCGGAGAAGCGUCCUCAUGGUGCAGGCGGUCAAACCUCCACCUCUUUGAAGAGACCAAGCAGCUUGACUGACUGACUGGUUCCUUAUACUCCGGACCUCGUCCCGGAGCAGAGGACAGACCUAAGGCCUGCAGUCCAGCGGUCUAGGGACUCCAUGUGGAACCGGUUCAAUAAUGUUGACCUCUCCUUCAGGCGACUUAAAGGGAGACCAGAUGUGCGGCAGCUGGGUGUCAUGGUGCAGAGACCCAACGCUGCACUGAACUACACCAGUGUGUCCUACUCCCCAUAAACCCUGAGGAUCCCUGGCUACACCAGCACAUUAAUCCACACCCAACAUUAACACACAGUGCACACUCUAUAGAGCUUGUAAGUCCGCCCCUUGCGGUGGGACCUCGUGAGAUCGUAAGAUAUGACUGGGUUUCAAUGGAGAGAAAGUAAUUAUUUUCUCCAUUAUGUUGCACCACAUUUUGGGGGAAGAAUGUUUGAAUCAAUCUUUGUCAUUUAUUUCUGUACUCCACAUCUGUAAUCCCAGCUGUUGUAUUUUAACACUGUAGCUGGGAACCCUCUUUAUAGGGAGCGGCUAGAGGGACGAGGCUGGAAGCAAACCUGAGCCUGGAUCUUAACCUUCUUUCUAAACCUAAUGCCGCAAUUUAACCGCAAAUAAAGUGAGGCCUAAAGUAACUUGACUCUCUUACCUAAACUUGCUUGCCUAAACUCGCUUGUCUAAACUCGCUUGCAUAAAACCUAAACUCGCUUGCAUAAAACCUGAACUUGCUUGGCUAAACUCGCGUCGCUUGCCUAAUACCUGAACUUGCUUGCCUAAACUCGCUUGCCUAAUACCUGAACCCGCUUGCCUAAACCCGCUUGCCUAAACCCGCUUGCCUAAACUCGCUUGCCUAAUACCUGAACUCACUUGCAUAAAACCUAAACUCGCUUGGCUUGACUCGCUUGCCUGUACUCGCUUGCCUAAUACCUGAAGUCGCUUGCCUAAUACCUUGAAGUCGCUUGCCUAAUACCUGAACACGCUUGCCUAAAACCUAAACUCGCUUGGCUUGACUCGCUUGCCUGUACUCGCUUGGCUAAAUACGCUUGCAUAAAACCUAAACUCGCUUGGCUUGACUCGCUUGCCUGUACUCGCUUGGCUAAACUCGCUUGCCUAAUACCUGAAGUCGCCUGCCUAAACUCGCUUGCCUAAAACCUAAACUUGCUUGUCCAAACGCGUUACACAAAGUUAACCAUCCAUAAUCUUUAACCCAAACCAGACUUGUCCCUGGGUCGCUCCACUUUAAUUUAGAAGUUUCUUCUUUUACCUCAUCUGCGUUUUGAGUUUCAUUCUUUGAGGGCUUGAAGUGCUUUGGAGGAUAUUUGAACCUUUGUUUGCCGCAUCAAUAAACAUGCUUUAUCUUUACCCAUUUUGUUUAGGAUUGCAUUUCUAUGUGUAAUCCGGCCAAAGGUUCAGUGUCCUUGCAUGUAAUGUCUAUGGUCUGACGAUAAUCUGACCUCUUCAUGAAGCAGAAUGUGUGUGAAUGUUGUCCCGUGAGCUCCAGGCUCUCUGUGGGCCUGUCAAUGUCUCUUUAGCAAAAAAUUGAAAUUCAUUUUUGUACCAUUUUCCUGUGUUCCUGAGUAUUUCAGACCUGUGGUGUUUCACAUGAGACCUUAAUGGGAACUUUUAUUUUUCUGCCUGCAUACGUAAUGCCUACAGUAGGGUGAUCACUGUUGAUCCCAAUAUUGAUCAUUAACCACCUCAUUCUUUUAUGAUUUUUUUCGAUAAGGAUUACAAAUCAUGUAAUUUAUGAGCAUAUUUGCAAAUGGCUCCAAAUAUCAGAUUGUGUAAAAACUAAUGAAAUGUAACCUGCUUGAUUUCAAGAAAAUAAAACAUCCAAAUAUUAUAAACCUG